rnacentral:snRNA from 1 species
AUCGCUUCUCGGCCUUUUGGCUAAGAUCGAGUGUAGUAUCUCUUCUUAUCAGUUUUAAUAUCUAGUAGGGUUGAAAUAGCAAGUUUUCUACCUCAUCUGUAGAGUUGAGCUCUCCUUAUAGGGAAGUGGGAAGGGGAAUGAUGGUUGGGGAAACAACAAUUAAUGUUUGCCUCACCAAAUUUUA